rnacentral:rRNA from 1 species
UACGGAAGGCAGCAGUGGGGAAUAUUGCACAAUGGGCGAAAGCCUGAUGCAGCUAUGCCGCGUGUAUGAAGAAGGCCUUAGGGUUGUAAAGUACUUUCAUCGGGGAGGAAAAAACAAAACUAAUAAUUUUAUUUCUUGACGUUACCCGAAAAAGAAGCACCGGCUAACUCCGUGCCAGCAGCCGCGGUAAUACGGAGGGUGCUAGCGUUAAUCAGAAUUACUGGGCGUAAAGAGCACGUAGGUGGUUUUUUUAAGUCAGAUGUGAAAUCCCUGGGCUUAACCUAGGAACUGCAUUUUGAAACUGAAAUACUAGAGUAUCGUAGAGGGAGGUAGAAUUCUAGGUGUAGCGGUGAAAUGCGUAGAUAUCUGGAGGAAUACCUGUGGCGAAAGCGGCCUCCUAAACGAAUACUGACACUGAGGGUGCGAAAGCGUGGGGAGCAAACAGGGAUUAGGACUACC